GAUGAACGCUAGCUACAGGCUUAACACAUGCAAGUCGAGGGGUAACGAGAGGAAAGCUUGCUUUCCUUGUCGACGACCGGCGCACGGGUGAGUAACGCGUAUCCAACCUGCCCCCAACUAAGGAAUAACCUUGCGAAAGUAAGACUAAUACCUUAUAAUUUCCUCAGAUGUCAUCUGACGAGGAAUAAAGAUUUAUCGGUUGUGGAUGGGGAUGCGUCUGAUUAGCUUGUUGGCGGGGUAACGGCCCACCAAGGCAACGAUCAGUAGGGGUUCUGAGAGGAAGGUCCCCAACAUUGGAACUGAGACACGGUCCAAACUCCUACGGGAGGCAGCAGUGAGGAAUAUUGGUCAAUGGGCGGAAGCCUGAACCAGCCAAGUAGCGUGCAGGAUGACGGCCCUAUGGGUUGUAGACUGCUUUUAUACAGGAAUAAAGUUAGCCACGUGUGGUUAUUUGUAGGUACUGUAUGAAUAAGGACCGGCUAAUUCCGUGCCAGCAGCCGCCGUAACAC
rnacentral:rRNA from 1 species